rnacentral:rRNA from 1 species
UACGAGAGGCCCAAACGUUAUUCGGAAUUACUGGGCUUAAAGAGUUCGUAGGCGGCGCAGAAAGUAGGGUGUGAAAGCCCUCGGCUUAACCGAGGAAUUGCGCUCUAAACUACUGUGCUUGAGGAAUCUAGAGGUGAGCGGAACUGAUGGUGGAGCGGUGAAAUGCGUUGAUAUCGAUAGGAACUCCGGUGGCGAAGGCGGCAUACUGGGCCACUUCUGACGCUGAGACGCGAAAGCGUGGGGAGCAAACAGG